UCGUAGUUACGUCGAAAACAAAAUGGACACCGCGUAUGUUGUGCAUUUAGACGCCGAAUAAGAAGCUUUUGGCUCCGUCUUUUUAUCGACGACAAUACAGAGGAAGUAAACAUGUUGUUUUUUAUCCCUUGAUUACUUUCUGCAAAAUAUUUAACGUUGGAAUCAAUAUAUCAGUUACUGCCCUUUGUUUAUAUUCGAUAAGGAUGAAUAAAUCAAAAUAAAUUGCAAUUUAUCAUACGUGAAAACCCUAUGUGUUUAUUAUGUGUGUGAUUCAAUUAUAUUGUUCAACAGCAGUUGAAGUAUAUGCGCUUUGCGCCGCUCGAAUUAUUGUGCAAUGAUUAAUUUUGCUGUAAGCUUUUAUCCAUUGCAAUUUGCAUGUGAUUUCGGAAGUUUUUUUGUUCGGAUAAGUACUCAAUGGAGCCUUGUUUUUUAUUGGUACUCAUCACUGACAUCAGUUAAAGAUUUUUGGCCAAAGGAAACAUCUAUUCCAAGCUGGCAGAUCUUCAUGGAAUCAGCAGAUCAUCUUUAGUUAUUUGACAUGCCUUCACGAGUUCAAUCAGCAAACAUAUGAUUGGUUUCCAGUCCGUGUACAACAACAAACUUGCAUGAAGGUUGGAUUCUGCCACAAGGCCCGGGAGCAGUGGAUGGGACUCUCAUACCCAUAAUACUAAAUACGUUAUAUUACACACAUGCAGUUGAACACAGCGGGAACUCUUGAAGAAAAAAAUGUGUAUUUUUUUUAUUCGAACUUAAAUGUAAAAUAUAUAUUUAAUUUUAGCUCGACUAUACCUUGAAUGAUAAGCUGUGUAUAAAAUUAUGGUAAACAUGCAACAUCCUUAUAUCACUGUUUCUAUUACAUAUUUUCAUUAAAAGCACUUAUGUAUUCAGGGUCAUUAUGUCAUUGUGAGGUCACUGACCAAGUUGCUUAUCUCUGACCUGCAUUUAGCUUAAUAAUGCCCCUUUUGUACUUAAAAUGUUCCACUUAAAUUGUGUGUACAGCUACUCCAUACUAUAUUUUCCACAGAUAAUCCUUCACAUAUGUCGUCAGAUUUUUUUUAAAUCAUAUAAAUAAUAUUUCUUUGGGUCAUUGUUAUAACCACUACAAAUAUUUACUGUUGUUGCGAAUAAAGUUGUUAAAACUGUUUAAACUCGAUGUUGUGUUAGUGAAUCUUUAAGAGAAGAAGCUUCUUGAAUAAUGUCACUUUAGCUUCUUACUUCACAAUCUUUUUGUUCAACAUGUAAUUAAAUACACUUUAAAUUAUAAAGUGGAUUGCAAUACAGAGAACGCAGAAGAAGCGCUUACAUUUGUACUUAAAAAGAAAUUUAAGAAUGAUGUUUGAAGUUGUCAGCAUUUUCAUGGUGAACAUUUUGAUUGUAUGGCCCCAAUGGAAAAAAUAAUUUGUUACUAAUUUAAAUUUUAGCAAACACCUAAUAAUGCUUUUAAGAAUGAGUUAUUUUGUUUCUAAAGUAAAAAUAUGUCCUAACCUAGAAA